AUACAUGCAAGUCGAACGGAAGGCGGAUUUAUUCGUCUUUAGUGGCAAACGGGUGAGUAACGCGUGGGAAUCUGCCCUUUGGUGGGGGACAACUAGGGGAAACUCUAGCUAAUACCGCAUAUAAUUGGUAACAAUGAAAGAUUUUAUUGCCAAAGGAUGAGCCCGCGUCAGAUUAGGUAGUUGGUAGGGUAAUGGCCUACCAAGCCUGUGAUCUGUAGCUGAUUUGAGAGAAUGAUCAGCCACACUGGGAUUGAGAUACGGCCCAGACUCCUACGGGAGGCAGCAGUAAGGAAUAUUGGACAAUGGGGGCAACCCUGAUCCAGCAAUGCCGCGUGAAUGAAGAAGGCCUUCGGGUUGUAAAGUUCUUUCGCUUACGAUGAUAAUGACAGUAGUAAGAUAAGAAGGUCCGGCUAACUCUGUGCCAGCAGCCGCGGUGAGACAGAGGGACCUAGCGUUGUUCGGAAUGACUGGGCGUAAAGGGUGCGUAGGUGGUUACUUAAGUAGGGUGUUAAAUCCUUGGGCUCAACCCAAGAAUCGCAUUCUAUACUGGGUGACUGGAGUAUGGGAGAGGAGAUUGGAAUUCCUAGUGUAGAGGUGAAAUUCGUAGAUAUUAGGAGGAACACCAGAGGCGAAGGCGAAUCUCUGGCCCAUUACUGACACUGAGGCACGAAAGCGUGGGGAGCAAACAGGAUUAGAUACCCUGGUAGUCCACGCCCUAAACGAUGAGUGCUAGACGUUGGAAUUUUAUUUUCAGUGUCGCAGCUAACGCGUUAAGCACUCCGCCUGAGGAUUACGGUCGCAAGACUAAAACUUAAAGGAAUUGACGG
rnacentral:rRNA from 1 species